rnacentral:lncRNA from 1 species
UUUUGUUAAUUAUUCAAAAACUAUUUUAAAUUGUGGUUCUAUAGGAUGGUUUGUUUCUAUUUUACUUUUUUAUUUUUACGGAGGUUUUUAGCAGUGGUGAUAUUUAAUCAAAAAGUCUUAAGUAUAAAAAAUUUAUAAUUAGACAUUAGAAAAUUAAGUACUCUCUAGUGUUUAAUACAAAGGCUGGAGGAAAUAAAAAGAAGGGGGGUGAAUUUUAGUCUAGAUCUAAUAAAGGAGGGGGGGGGCUGUCUUAAUAAGCUUGGGGUUUGUGGGAAAGUUUCCAAAAAUUAAUAAAUGUCCUCUCCCAUGUAUCAAGCACCUAAGAGUGCAGGUUUUUGUAAAUAUUGCAGAAUUUUUUUGACUCUUUAUUUUUUUACAUAUUUUUUAUUUUUUAGCAGGAUUUGUGCAGUAUCUUUAUUAUAGGGAUCACCAAGACAAGGGUCAAGACAAGUUGUGUUAAUAUCUCAAAUAAACCUUAAAAAAUAAGCUUAGACCAAAUUAAACUUCCAAAAUAAAUUAUUUAUUGAGAUAUUAACGAAAAAUGUUUUCGUGUUUUAUGCCAUAUUAUUUUUCGCAAAGGAAGGUUUCAGCUUGUUGAUUUUUUUUUUAAAGAAAUCUGAUCUGAUUAAAGGGUUUAUAUUUAACAUCUAUAAAAUGUUAUUAUUAUUGUUUAAGUUAAAUUAUAUUUUAAUGUUUCAGUUUUACCUUUUUUUAAUAUAAAAAAAAAAACAGUUGUUAGUUAAACAGAGUGAAAUGAACAUAGCAGCUGUUUGUUAAAAACAAAUCCCUCUAAUAGAAUCUAAAAUCCGAAAAUAAAAAUUUUGCAAUUAAGUGAAAAAAGACAUGUUAAUAAGAUAUUUUCAAAUUUAAAAUUAAUCUUGUUACUGCCAUUUUAUUGGUUAUUGGAAAUUCUUUUUAAUUGAUGAAAAUAUUUGUCUUUACAGUCUCCUAUAAGUUUGAUACAUUGUUUUAUAACAUUGUUGAAUAGGAAAGAUUGCAUGCUAGUUUUUUUAUGCAAUGAUUUUGAAUUUAUUUGAUUGCUCUGAUAGAAUAUUUAUUCACUCUGUUUAAUCAAAUAGAUGAAACUCGAUUUGUUACUAAAGAGUUAUGAUGUUGUGUCAAGGGGUAGGGGUGGAUCCAAAACGGUCAAAAAUUGCAUAAUUUAAUUUAUAGGCAACCCCUAAGUUCAAAUAAAAUUAAAGAUUUGUUGGCUGGGGCAGCAGCAAUAAUAACAGCUUGCAGAAACUUAAGAUAAACUGCUGACUUGAAAAUGUCGGCAAAAAAGUAUAUACUGUACUAUUAUAUACUGUGUUCUACUGUACCAUUAUAUACUGUGUUCAAAAAAGUAUAUACUGUACUAUUAUAUAUUAGUACAGUAUAUACUGUAAAAGUAUAUACUGUACUAGUAUACUACUAUUAUAUAAUGUAAAUUCAUAAUUUAAUUUUUAAAAUUAUUAGUUUUUUUUAAGUCAGACAAGUUAUCCCAAUCUAAGAUUCAUUCAUCCAACAUGGGUAAAUUACUAACAGUACUAGGAUAUUAGAAUAAAAUGCAUACUGCUUCAUAUCAAGACCUAAGCUUUAUACUAGCACCCAUAAUUGCCAACAAACUUCAUAAUUGCCAACAAACUUGAUGGUUGAGCAGUGCUGUUAACUGUUAAUUAAUAUAAAAAUGUUGGCAACCAUUAUAUUUCUAAUUUUCAUCCUAACAUUAUCCAAUUAAACCAAACAAAGUUUUCACUUCAACACAUAUGUAAUCUUGUUUUUUUUAAAUAUUAACUUUUUUUUUGUUGUUGUUAACAUUAAUGACUUGCUGGUUUGUCGGUUUUUUAUAUUUUUUAAAAAAAGUAACAGAAAAUAACCUCAAAUUUUGAUUAAUUUUUUUUUUUAAAGUUUUUCAGUUUUAUUUGUGGAAGCAAUAGGGCUUGCUUUGUAAGCAAGAGCUAUUGAAUUUCAUCUUUGCCAUAUCUCUGAUAGUACUCAAUAAAAUUAAUACAGCUCAAAAAAGUAUUGUAAAUAUGUUUACUUUAUUAAACAAAUAAAAUGAUAAUUGCUUUUGCUUUUUUGGUUAAAAGUACAAAUGCUGUUAUUUUCGUGAACAUAUUUGUUGUUUUGAAUGUAAAUAGACUACUGUACAUACUGUAACACAAA